UACGUAGGGGGCAAGCGUUGUCCGGAAUCAUUGGGCGUAAAGCGCGCGUAGGCGGCCUGGUAAGUCCGCUGUAAAAGUCCAGGGCUCAACCCUGGAACGCCGGUGGAUACUGUCGGGCUAGAGUCCGGAAGAGGCGAGUGGAAUUCCUGGUGUAGCGGUGGAAUGCGCAGAUAUCAGGAAGAACACCCGUGGCGAAAGCGGCUCUCUGGAACGGUACUGACGCUGAGACGCGAAAGCGUGGGGAGCGAACAGG
rnacentral:rRNA from 1 species